CAGUGUUUGUGACCAAGUGGCUACUAAAAGAGACUGGACAUACCCCAUUUGCAAUACCUAGGGUUGUCUACUUUUGCAAAUGGUAUGCCAUCAUGGGGGUAAUCUUCAUUCCUGGGCUACCAUACGGUCUCAAAGACACCGUAACCAAUCUGGCGAAUUUCAAUGUGAAAAAAAUGAAAAAUGUAACAUGCUAUAUUUGACCCUGUAACUUCCCAAAACACCAUAAAACCUGUACAUAGGGGGUACUGUUUUACAUGUGAG